rnacentral:rRNA from 1 species
GGAAACAGAUGCUAAUACCGGAUAACAACAGAUGAUGCCUAUCAACUGUUUAAAAGAUGGUUCUGCUAUCACUCUUGGAUGGACCUGCGGUGCAUUAGCUAGUUGGUAGGGUAACGGCCUACCAAGGCGAUGAUGCAUAGCCGAGUUGAGAGACUGAUCGGCCACAUUGGGACUGAGACACGGCCCAAACUCCUACGGGAGGCAGCAGC